GGAGCUGGAGCAGAGGUUAUCUGGAGAACCCACCGUCCCUGUUGCAGAUAACCCAGAUAACACUGGUGAUGAUGACCCAGCUGCCAGGUUAGAGCAAGAGGAGCUGGAGCAGAGGUUAUCUGGAGAACCCAUCGUCCCUGUUGCAGAUAACCCAGAUAACACUGGUGAUGAGAG